rnacentral:pre_miRNA from 1 species
UAGCCUCUACUAGGCUUUGUCUGUGCAUUUGAUAUAAGAUCAGACAUAGCCUAUGAGAGGUUAGG